AGAGUGAUGAAAUACGUGGACACCAAUCUGCAGAAUCAGCCAGAAUUUCAAAAGGCCAAUCAAGAACAAUAAGCAGAGGGGAAGAUGAGAGGGACUGCUUCAGGAAAGAAAACGUCUGGCCUGCAAAGAAAAGUGUUGAAAUGAGAACAGAAAAGAACAAACAGAAAACACCAGGAAAUAGCGAUGGUGGCAGUACCAAGGAGAACGAAGAAACAUUUAUUAACAGAGUUGAAGUUAAAGAUUCCUAAAGAGGUAAAAUCAUGGCUUGUUGAUGACUGGGACUUAAUUACCCCACAAAAACAGCUCUUUUAUCUUCCUGCCAAGAAGAAUGUGGAUUCCAUUCUAGAGGAUUAUUCGAAUUACAAGAAUCUUGAGGAAACACCAAUAAUUAGGAGUAUUCUGUUAAUGAAGUUGUGGCCGAGUCAAAGAGUACUUUAGUGUAAUGCUGGGUGCUCAGCUGCCCUACAAAUUUGAGACAACAGUACACUAAAACACCCGCCCAUCACCACAAGCACCAUGUCUCAGGUACAGGGAGAGCCACAUCUACUGAGAUUAUUCGUAUAAAUUGGAGCAAUGUUGGCCUAUAUACCAUUGGAUGAGAAGAACCUUGCUUUGUUACUGAAUUACCUUCCCGAUUUCCUCAAGUACCUGGCAAGCAAUUCUGCAACUUUGUUCAGUGCCAGCUAUUACAAAGUGUCUCCAUCCGAGUACCAUCAGAAAGCCAUGUGA